UACAGAGGUGGCAAGCGUUGUUCGGAAUUACUGGGCGUAAAGGGCGCGUAGGCGGUCUUGCAAGUCCUGUGUGAAAUCCCUCGGCUCAACUGAGGAACUGCACAGGAAACUGCUUGGCUUGAGUUCGGGAGAGGGAAGCGGAAUUCCGGGUGUAGCGGUGAAAUGCGUAGAUAUCCGGAGGAACACCAGUGGCGAAGGCGGCUAACUGGUCCAGUACUGACGCUGAGGUGCGAAAGCGUGGGGAGCAAACAGG
rnacentral:rRNA from 1 species